rnacentral:misc_RNA from 1 species
GAAAUGCGAUACUUGGUGUGAAUUGCAGAAUCCCGCGAACCAUCGAGUCUUUGAACGCAAGUUGCACCCGAAGCCAUUAGGUUGAGGGCAUGUCUGCCUAGGCAUCUCACGUUGCGUCGACCGCGCCCCCUUUCCCCUCUCGAAGGGGGGAAGAAGGGCUACGGGCAGAUGUUGGCCCCCCGGGCGCGCCUGCACGCGGUCGGCCCAAAAGCGAGUACCCCGUGAUGGACGACGCAUCACGGCGAGUGGUGGUUGACAAACUGUUGCGCCGCCUCGCACACUUCCGGCCCGUCUCGGGAGGCCUGUCGAGACCCUAUCGCGCCGCCGCCAAGGCGCUCCGAUCGCGACCCCAGGUCAGGCGGGAUUACCCGCUGAGUUUAA